rnacentral:rRNA from 1 species
ACGCUGGCGGCGUGCCUAAUACAUGCAAGUAGAACGCUGAAGGAGGAGCUUGCUUCUCCGGAUGAGUUGCGAACGGGUGAGUAACGCGUAGGUAACCUGCCUGGUAGCGGGGGAUAACUAUUGGAAACGAUAACUAAUACCGCAUAAGAGUAGAUGUCGCAUGACAUUUGCUUAAAAGGUGCAAUUGCAUCACUACCAGAUGGACCUGCGUUGUAUUAGCUAGUUGGUGGGGUAACGGCCCACCAAGGCGACGAUACAUAGCCGACCUGAGAGGGUGAUCGGCCACACUGGGACUGAGACACGGCCCAGACUCCUACGGGAGGCAGCAGUAGGGAAUCUUCGGCAAUGGACGGAAGUCUGACCGAGCAACGCCGCGUGAGUGAAGAAGGUUUUCGGAUCGUAAAGCUCUGUUGUAAGAGAAGAACGAGUGUGAGAGUGGAAAGUUCACACUGUGACGGUAUCUUACCAGAAAGGGACGGCUAACUACGUGCCAGCAGCCGCGGUAAUACGUAGGUCCCGAGCGUUGUCCGGAUUUAUUGGGCGUAAAGCGAGCGCAGGCGGUUAGAUAAGUCUGAAGUUAAAGGCUGAGGCUUAACCAUAGUACGCUUUGGAAACUGUUUAACUUGAGUGCAAGAGGGGAGAGUGGAAUUCCAUGUGUAGCGGUGAAAUGCGUAGAUAUAUGGAGGAACACCGGUGGCGAAAGCGGCUCUCUGGCUUGUAACUGACGCUGAGGCUCGAAAGCGUGGGGAGCAAACAGGAUUAGAUACCCCUGGUAGUCCACGCCGUAAACGAUGAGUGCUAGGUGUUAGACCCUUUCCGGGGUUUAGUGCCGCAGCUAACGCAUUAAGCACUCCGCCUGGGGAGUACGACCGCAAGGUUGAAACUCAAAGGAAUUGAC